GGAGAGGUGACCGAGUGGUUGAAGGUGCAGCACUGGAAAUGCUGUGUGCGUCUCGCGCGUACCGAGGGUUCGAAUCCCUCCCUCUCCGCCA
rnacentral:tRNA from 1 species